ensembl:lncRNA
AAGGGAGGGAGCAACUCGGAGCGAGAGAGCGAGGGAGGGAGAGGAUUUUAAAUCCGAUGACAGUGAUAACAGUGAUAGUCAGCUCAGGCUCGAGUGGCGGAAGGGUCUCAGCUGAAUCAGGAAGCCACCUCUGGUUUGACAUAUACAGCUUUUAUCACCAAUGUUGCUGUCACUUUAAGACUGUUACUGAUUAGCCGCCGAAGACUGACUGGACAGAGAAAAAAGGACAGACCAAAAAAGAGAGACAGAAAGGAAGAGAGAAGGAGAGAGUUUCAAGCUGGGAAUCACAUGGAGAACACCAAGGCUGAACAGGGAGAAGACUGAGACUCAGCACAUGCAAGCAACAUUCAGCCAUCAGGAAAUACUCCUUUCACCCAGACUGACUCACACAAUAGCCUCCCUAAAAUUAGACCUCAAGGCUAGCGGCCACCAUUGGAGGCUCCGAGCGGAAGUGGAAGACUGAGAGAGUGGGUGUGGGGAGGGUGUGUGCGGGUUUCUGUUGGACUGGUGCUUUGUCCCUCUAGAAAGGAAUGUGGCGGUCACACAUUGACCUCUGUGCGUGCAACAUGCUUUCAUGGGAAGGUGCAGCUCCCUGGCCCCCUCCCGCCAUCGGCCUCACGUACCGUCACACACCCUCUGUGCUUUAGUACCAUAUAAUACUAACCACUCCCAAACCCCUCUAUCUAUCUGUGCCAAGAUCUAUUCACAUUUUCACCGUAAAUGAUGCCUGCUCAGGAUGUUAACUCUGUGGACUGCCAUAUGGAAAAGAAGGCAUGUUUGUGUGUGGAAGUCACAAUAUAUUUCUCUCACUUUAAGAAUUAGAUCAGACUCAAAACACUGCUUUGCUUGUCUCUAAUAACA